GCCGGGUGUGGUGGCACACACCUGUAGUCCCAGCUACUUGGGAGGCUAAGGUGGGAGGAUCGCUUGAGCCCAGGAAGUCUAGGCUGCAGUGAGCCAUGAUUGCAUCACUGCACUCCAGCCUGAGCAACAGAGAAAGACCUUGUCUCAA
rnacentral:SRP_RNA from 1 species